UAUAGAAUAUUGGGUUCAUUGAAGAAGUUAAUACGAAACUAAUCUUAUUCGGUAUUGUAAACCGGAAGUACGCAAAUAAUUUAGACGGGUUAUCUUUUUUAUGAUUUUGUUAACAACAUCUAGAGCAAUUCUCAAUUUGCAAUGCAUUAUGGGAAACAGGAUGUGUCACACAGGGAGGCAAACAGACGUAUUUUGAUCGUAGAAAGUCAUAAUACAAUAACAUAGAGUACGAUUCGCUACUUAAUAAUUACUGCCAUGCCGUAUUAUUUCAUGAGGAAUGCAUCUACGUGUCAUAUAGCGUUUGUCGAAGUGUCUAUGUGCGCCAGCGCUCUAUGAUUUUCCAUCGCGAAAAUAGGUGACGGCAGAAAUUAUUUGACUUGUAUCCCUAUAAGGUAAUGUCUCUUUGUAUUUCAGAAAAGUGAUACAAAUAAACGGUCAACGCCCGCUUCGCGGGCUUUUGCCCGUAUGAACGGUAUGACUGAAAAGCUUCUUCCGUAAGGAGUCCUCACACAUUACAAAAUAGCCAAAAAAUUGAAAAUGUACAGCAUCGAGCAGGCCGCUGGGUCAAGCAUAACUAUUCCCCAUACGCCAGUGUCGCCUCCAUGCAACAGGAACUUGGUUGGCAGACCCUACAAGACAGACGAAUUAACACUAAAUUAAUCAUCUUUUUCAAAAUUUUUGAAGGUUUAGUGGCUGUGCCCCUACCAUCAUAUAUCGAGCGACCCACCAGAUUCACUCAUCACAUGCACCUGCUCUCCUACAGACAGAUCCAUACACUGCAGAUUAUUAGAUCUAUAAGUUUUCAUUUCUCCCCAAGUGCUCUAUUGUGAUGUGGAACAACCUUCCUGCCACUACAGUUUUACAUCCCGAUCUUGAAGCGUUUAAGCAGUCCCUGCUUUCCCCUUCUGCCCCUUGAACUGUGGGAGACAAUUGUUUUUAUCAGUUUUUAACUUUAAAUCACUUCACCUUAUAUGAUAAAUCUAUCAUACUUUAUCUUUCUCACUUUUAUCUGGCACUGACUGCGCACCUGUCAAUAAUACCUGCAAGGGGAGUAAGACAGUAUAGAUAUAUAGCAGAAAAGGCCCCUUUCCACGGAAAGGGCUUUCGGUGUUGAAGGGCCUAAAUUCAGUUAUUUUCAAUGAUUUAAAAACAUGGAUUGGUAUUUUCAUAAACAGUACCGUACAUUGUGUUCAUAUUUGAAAUUUUAUUCAAAUCCAUCAAGAAAAUAUUUGACUUUAAAAUAUUUGUGAAUGCCAUACGAUAACAGUAACGGAAAGGGGCGAGCACCAUGGAGAGGGCUCAUAGCGGAAAGGGGCCUCGGCCUUGGAAAAGGGCUAAAAUUAUUUAUUUUUAAAGACGUUUAUUUGCAUUUUCAUUAACGAAACCUUACUUUAUGUUUACAUGUUAAAUUUCAUUCAAAUCUAUCAAGAAAUGAUUUAAUUUUACAAUAUUUUUGAAUGUCUUACAAUACGAGUAACUGGAAGGGGUGAGCACCAUGGAAAGGGCUCGAUCAUCGUUAAGUUUCGAAAUAAACAGAAAGAACCCGUCGAUGUUUGGAAAGUGCUUUAUACGGUUACUUUCUUAAAACAUGCAUUGGUAUUGCCAUAAACAAGUACUAAAAUUG